rnacentral:rRNA from 1 species
GACGAACGCUGGCGGCGUGCCUAACACAUGCAAGUCGAGCGAUGAAGCCCUUCGGGGUGGAUUAGCAGCGGACGGGUGAGUAACACGUGGGUAACCUGCCUCGUAGAGGGGGAUAGCGUCCCGAAAGGGAGAUUAAUACCGCAUAACAUAUUUUAGUCGCAUGGCUAGACUAUCAAAGGAGUAAUCCGCUAUGAGAUGGACCCGCGGCGCAUUAGCUAGUUGGUGAGGUAACGGCUCACCAAGGCGACGAUGCGUAGCCGACCUGAGAGGGUGAUCGGCCACAUUGGAACUGCGACACGGUCCAGACUCCUACGGGAGGCAGCAGUGGGGAAUAUUGCGCAAUGGAGGAAACUCUGACGCAGCAACGCCGCGUGAAUGAUGAAGGCCUUAGGGUUGUAAAGUUCUGUCUUCUGGGACGAUAAUGACGGUACCAGAGGAGGAAGCCACGGCUAACUACGUGCCAGCAGCCGCCGUAAUAC